rnacentral:piRNA from 1 species
UCUCAUCUUCACUAACCUAUUUUUAUUCA